rnacentral:rRNA from 1 species
GAUGAACGCUGGCGGCGUGCCUAAUACAUGCAAGUCGAGCGAAUGGAUUAAGAGCUUGCUCUUAUGAAGUUAGCGGCGGACGGGUGAGUAACACGUGGGUAACCUGCCCAUAAGACUGGGAUAACUCCGGGAAACCGGGGCUAAUACCGGAUAACAUUUUGAACCGCAUGGUUCGAAAUUGAAAGGCGGCUUCGGCUGUCACUUAUGGAUGGACCCGCGUCGCAUUAGCUAGUUGGUGAGGUAACGGCUCACCAAGGCAACGAUGCGUAGCCGACCUGGGAGGGUGAUCGGCCACACUGGGACUGAGACACGGCCCAGACUCCUACGGGAGGCAGCAGUAUGGAAUCUUCCGCAAUGGACGAAAGUCUGACGGAGCAUCGCCGCGUGAGUGAUGAAGGCUUUCGGGUCGUAAAACUCUGUUGUUAGGGAAGAACAAGUGCUAGUUGAAUAAGCUGGCACCUUGACGGUACCUAACCAGAAAGCCACGGCUAACUACGUGCCAGCCGCCGCGGUAACAC